rnacentral:rRNA from 1 species
AGUGAACGCUGGCGGCAGGCCUAACACACGCAAGUCGAACGGCAGCACAAGAGAGCUUGCUCUCUGGGUGGCGAGUGGCGGACGGGUGAGGAAUGCAUCGGAAUCUGCCCAUUUGUGGGGGAUAACCUCGGGAAACCGGGACUAAUACCGCAUACGACCUACGGGUGAAAGCAGGGGAUCUUCGGACCUUGCGCAGAUGGAUGAGCCGAUGCCGGAUUAGCUAGUUGGAGGGGUAAAGGCCCACCAAGGCGACGAUCCGUAGCUGGUCUGAGAGGAUGAUCAGCCACACUGGGACUGAGACACGGCCCAGACUCCUACGGGAGGCAGCAGUGGGGAAUAUUGGACAAUGGGCGCAAGCCUGAUCCAGCCGUGCCGCGUGUGUGAAGAAGGCCUUCGGGUUGUAAAGCACUUUUGUUGGGAAAGAAAAGCAGCCGGUUAAUACCCGGUUGUCAUGACGGUACCCAAAGAAUAAGCACCGGCUAACUUCGUG